UUCUUCCCCAAAUUCUGAAAAAUCUCAUUUUCUCCUCUUCUCACUACAUCUCCUUCAUCUUCUCUCUAAGAAAUCCUCACCGUUUCUUACUCCGAUCACCAUUCAAGCACCGUAGAAGCACUUCCGGCGUCAAGAGCUUCCAGUUAAACCGUUCGGUUUGUGAAGCUGAGCUGUUUGGAUUGUCGAGCGUUGAGGGUAGAGGAACUUGUAGUGGUGGAACUGUACUCUGUCUCUGUGAACGUUCGGUCACAUUAGAGAAGGUAGCUGCUGGAAGAGGCGCUGGAGGAAGAUAGCUUAGUGGAGGUAGAAGUUAAGACCGAACAGUAGAACCGUUCGGUCAGUAUUAUAGUUUGAUAGUAAGGUGAUCGCUCGAUCACCUUUUCCCUUUGCUUUUGUAUGACCGUUCAGUAUGGGCUUUUGUAAACCAUUCGGUCAGAAUUGCUUAGUUUUAAGAUGAUCGUUCGAUCAUCUUUUCCCCUUUUCUUUUGGUAGGACCGUUCGGUAUAGUAUUUUGUAAACCGUUCGGUCGGGAUUUGUUUAUGUUGUUCGGUUUUAAUUUUCUAGUUUUUCUGUA